GGCCAUCUCAGAAUGCCUUUAUCACCAAUUUCUCAAAAACCGUUGAGAUAAAAAAUAUUCCGAACCGGGGCGCAUCCCCUUGUGCUAGCUACCCCCACGACCUCGAGUUCUAGAAGCCGUCUGCUCCGCCAUCUGCUCGUCCUCGAUGAUGACUUCAGGCUCCGCUUAGACUUUCAAUCUUGGGCGACAGAGCACAGAGGCGCCAUCGUCAGCGGCAGAAGAUGCCCUCUUAUCGAUAGUAGGGAGGCAGGCUCAGGUUAACCAAAAACUUGCGCAAGCACUCAGAUAUUCUCUGUCUUUAAUGAGUGAUGCAGCUAAGAAACUUCAAGAUACUGCCUCUUUGUGCUACACAGAUGAAGAUGUUGUCGACGGUUUCAAGCUGACUCAAGUGGCUCGUUCCUUGGACGAGUUAGCUGAAACGUUAGAAGUUACUGCAAUUGACUGUCAGGUCUCGAUGAUGGAUCCAACAACUAUAUUAGAAGCUGGCUAUGGUAGCGAAGAUAGUGCGGUGUGGGAGGACGUAUUCCGUGACCGAGAAAUAAUGAAUCAGCCAUUGGAAGCGGAGACACUAGCUGAGCACUGUGCUAAGUGGGGGCUGAAUUACAAUGAGAUCAGGGAUAGAUCUGUGUAACAUCUUCUAGUGUAGUGCUUUUGUAACACUAGCUAUGCUUUUGUAAGGUGAACUUGAUCAGUGUAACACCGACAGUGCUUAUGUAACACUGGCUAUGCUAUUGUAAUGUGUAAGAACUAUGUUGUUAUGUUGCAACCGACAUGGAACUUGGCUGUUAUCUUUUA